rnacentral:rRNA from 1 species
CCUACGGGGGGCAGCAGUGAGGAAUAUUGGUCAAUGGGAGGAAUCCUGAACCAGCCAUGCCGCGUGCAGGACGACGGCUCUACGAGUUGUAAACUGCUUUUGUACCGGGGUAAAAUGCUCUACGAGUAGGGUUUUGAAAGUACGGUACGAAUAAGGAUCGGCUAACUCCGUGCCAGCAGCCGCGGUAAUACGGAGGAUCCGAGCGUUAUCCGGAUUUAUUGGGUUUAAAGGGUGCGUAGGUUGUUUUAUAAGUUAGCGGUGAAAUACCGAUGCUCAACAUCGGGGCUGCCGCUGAUACUGUAGGACUAGAGAUCAGGUGCAGCAGGCGGGAUGUGUAGUGUAGCGGUGAAAUGCAUAGAUAUUACACAGAACACCGAUUGCGAAGGCAGCUUGCUAGGCCGGAUCUGACACUGAUGCACGAAAGCGUGGGGAUCGAACAGGAUUAGAUACCCUAGUAGUC